UGGGGAUUGAACCCAGGGGUACUCAACCACUGAGCCACAUCUCCAGCCCUUUUUUAUAUUUUAUUUAGAGACAGGGUCUCACCGAGGUGCUUAGUGCCUUGCCAAGUUGCUGAGACUGGCUUUGAACACAAGGUCCUCCUGCCUUAGCCUCCCAGUCUGCAGGGAUUACAGGCCUGAACCACCAUGUCUGGCCUUAAUUUUAUUUCUUAAAUUUGAAUGUCUUUGUCUCUCUUCCUCCCGCCCUCCUUCCCAUUUCUCCUAGAGAAGAGAGCACAUUCACCCCCACCGCCCCGCCACACAUACACACCCCUUUCUGCCCCUCUCUCCCGUCACACAUCUGACAUCUCACCAGAGAUUUGGUCACUGCUGAGCUAUCUUCAUUUAAUGUGGCUUUGACAGGAUAGUUGGUCUGGAAAUUUUAUUUUCGAUUAAACUUGCUUGUUGAACUGCCUCUGUUUUAAAAGGGUUCCAUUAAGGUGGGUCAUUAUAUAGCAGUUGUUACAGGAGGUAUUUGUGCUCAAUUUCAGCUCUUAGGUAAUUCAAAUCAAAUGCUUUCUAUUUUCCUCCCUCGAGCUGUGUGCUACCAUCUUUCUCUUACGCUGCAGGCGGUCUGUGAGUUAUUUUUAGAAACCCAAAUCAAAACAGCAAUUUUGGCAGAGGCCAUCUCUAGCCCAGCAGAGUAAUCCAUAUGUACCGAUACAAACAGCCAAAGAAGCCACAUCUUUAAAGAGCAACAACACCACCUCCCUAUUUGUGGGGUUCAAUGUUUGGGAACUGUAAGCUGUCUUUUGUGCUAUUAUAUUCCAUUCCAAGCUCUCAACUGAUGUUGAAGGUAAUGGAAAUCUCUUUAAAAUCAUGAAAGAGCUCUCCACUUGCGUACUUUGCCAACAUCUGUGUUUCAAGAUGGCAGCCUUAGGAUUUCCUGGGGACCUAGUUUUGGCUUCUGGAUCUCCAGUGAAACAUGGAGGUCACUUUCUUUAUUUUCUUAAUCUCCUCUUUUCUUUCCCCAGAAUACAUGUCCAUACCUCAUUAUGCUUGACUAGCAGGUAAACCUCUUAGAGUUAGAAUAUAAGUUUUUGGGCAGGGGCUGUACUUCUUAUCUUGUUUCAUGACCGACACUCGG
rnacentral:lncRNA from 1 species